AAUUGCUAGUAAUGGCAGGUCAGCAUACUGCCGUGAAUACGUUCCCGGGCCUUGUACACACCGCCCGUCACACCAUGAGAGUUGGAGAUACCCGAAGCCUGUGAGCUAACAAACGAGGCAGCAGUCGAAGGUAGAAUCAAUGAUUGGGGUGAAGUCGUAACAAGGUAUC
rnacentral:rRNA from 1 species